CUUCAGUGGAGUCUUUCCUGUGAACCUAGAUCUUUGGAUAUAGAGACUGGUGAGAUGAGGAGGAGAAAUGCUGGAACCCACCUCUCACCAAGACUGGCAUCUGACAGCCAUUUAUGAAUCACCUUUGGGGUAGCUAUUCCAGAGAGCUUAAGGUACUUCCAGUAGAGUGUUUUUUUAAGGUCACAUGUUGGAAUGGAUUCAUGAAGGCUCGGGCUUGGUUUGUUGCAAAGAAUUGAGAUACCUCAUCUCCUCAGUCAAAAUCCUCCUAGAUUGUUUUGUGAUAAGAAGACUG